ensembl:lncRNA
AUUUGCUUCCUGCAGUUUCUCUCUAGGGGACCUCUAGGAGAAGGGCAGAACUCAGACAGCCAGACACUGCGGUCCUGAGGUGGGACAAGAGGAAUAAAGAUACAACAAGCUUGGGCAACUCUCUUUCACCUGCAAAUUGGCUCUUUUCGCCUGUGAAUGGCACUUAUCCUCAAGGAAGCAGCACUGUAGUGGACAGUGGCUCUCAACUUCAAACCCAGUGUUCCCUCCCCAAGAACAGCCAGGACCCCUCCUGAAGUGGAGUCUUGUGACCUUCUCGAGGUAGGUAGAGAAUUGCGCAGGCCCAGUUCUUACCCAGAGGAGCGGGAACACGUGCGAAGCUGUUUCACUGUCUCCACGGUGUGGGGAUGUGUUGAGGAGCUCAGCUUUACCUCACUGCGCACUCUGGAUUUCACCUGGUAACCACGAGCAGUCAGGCACUUUUAUUCCCAGUCUUAAUUACAGAUACCCACAGCAUUGAGCUACACGUCUCACGUCAGGCCAUGACAAGCAGUUGUGGGAAACAGUUAGUAGCAGCUGUAGGACUUGAGGAGGCAGACCUGGGCAAAGACAGAAAGCCCAUGGAGGGGUACAAAGUCACCACAGGUGGCCAGGUAGGAUGACAGCUGAUGGAGUCCGCCGUCACUUGUCGAACAGCACCUGAAUGGGGGAGUGAGGAUGAGGAAAAAGAAAGACACAGAAAUAGAGUCGGGAGGGCUCCCAGAGAGACC